rnacentral:rRNA from 1 species
AUGGCCCUUCGCAGCAAGCUCGCCGAUAUUAAGAAGCUGGACUCCUCCGCCAUGACCUACUUCAAAAAGAUGAAGGUGCUGGCAGACACACUCACCCCUAUCGGUCGGUCGCUCAGAGACGAGGAGUUUCCUGGCUUUGUCAUCAAAGGCCUCGAUGCCGACUAUGACAAUCUUGCUGAGGCUAUUCACAACGCUAAGCCAGUGAUGCCCCCGCACGAGCUCUACUCAUGACUUCUCUUCACCGAGCAGCGCGUCGAGGCUCGUCGCUCCUCCCCCACCAUCACCUCACAGCCGGCGGCCUUCUGGGCUUCUCGGGGCCAGGGCCCCUGCCCCGUCAUCUGGCAAGCCCACCCCGCCCCCUGCAUCAACCCUGGGUGGGGGCUCUAA